rnacentral:rRNA from 1 species
CCUACGGGUGGCAGCAGUGAGGAAUAUUGGUCAAUGGGCGGAAGCCUGAACCAGCCAAGUAGCGUGCGGGAUGAAGGCCCUACGGGUCGUAAACCGCUUUUGCACGGGGAUAACACCCUCCACUUGUGGAGGUCUGCAGGUACCGUGCGAAUAAGGGCCGGCUAAUUCCGUGCCAGCAGCCGCGGUAAUACGAAGGGGGCAAGCGUUGUUCGGAAUUACUGGGCGUAAAGGGAGUGUAGGCGGUUUAGUAAGAUAGUGGUGAAAUCCCAGAGCUUAACUUUGGAAUUGCCAUUAUAACUAUUAGACUAGAAUUACAGAGAGGAUAGUGGAAUACCCAGUGUAGAGGUGAAAUUCGUAGAUAUUGGGUAGAACACCAGUGGCGAAGGCGACUAUCUGGCUGUACAUUGACGCUGAGGCUCGAAAGCAUGGGGAUCAAACAGGAUUAGAUACCCUAGUAGUC